rnacentral:piRNA from 1 species
UAGCAGGAAUUCUCAUCAAGUCAAACUGG